GACGAACGCUGGCGGCGUGCUUAACACAUGCAAGUCGAACGGAAAGGCCCUGCUUUUGUGGGGUGCUCGAGUGGCGAACGGGUGAGUAUCACGUGAGUAACCUGCCCUUGACUUUGGGAUAACUUCAGGAAACUGGGGCUAAUACCGGAUAGGAGCUCCUGCUGCAUGGUGGGGGUUGGAAAGUUUCGGCGGUUGGGGAUGGACUCGCGGCUUAUCAGCUUGUUGGUGGGGUAGUGGCUUACCAAGGCUUUGACGGGUAGCCGGCCUGAGAGGGUGACCGGCCACAUUGGGACUGAGAUACGGCCCAGACUCCUACGGGAGGCAGCAGUGGGGAAUAUUGCACAAUGGGCGGAAGCCUGAUGCAGCAACGCCGCGUGCGGGAUGACGGCCUUCGGGUUGUAAACCGCUUUCGCCUGUGACGAAGCGUGAGUGGCGGUAAUGGGUAAAGAAGCACCGGCUAACUACGUG
rnacentral:rRNA from 1 species